AACGAACGCUGGCGGCAUGCCUAAUACAUGCAAGUCGAACGAGACCUUCGGGUAUAGUGGCGCACGGGUGCGUAACGCGUGGGAACCUGCCCUUAGGUUCGGAAUAACUCCCCGAAAGGGGUGCUAAUACCUGAUAAUGUCUUAGGCCCAAAGAUUUAUCGCCUAUGGAUGGGCCCGCGUUGGAUUAGCUAGUUGGUAGGGUAAAAGCCUACCAAGGCGACGAUCCAUAGCUGGUCUGAGAGGAUGAUCAGCCACACUGGGACUGAGACACGGCCCAGACUCCUACGGGAGGAAGCAGUGGUGAAUAUUGGACGAUGGGCGAAAGCCUGAUCCAGCAAUGCCGCGUGAGUGAUGAAGGCCUUAGGGUUGUAAAGCUCUUUUACCCGGGAUGAUAAUGACAGUACCGGGAGAAUAAGAGCCGGCUAACUCCGUG
rnacentral:rRNA from 1 species